UACAGAGGGGGCAAGCGUUAUUCGGAAUUAUUGGGCGUAAAGGGCGCGUAGGCGGCCUGGCAAGUGGAAGGUGAAAUCCCUCGGCUUAACCGAGGAACUGCCCUCCAAACUGCUUGGCUUGAGUCCGGGAGAGGUGAGUGGAAUUCCCAGUGUAGCGGUGAAAUGCGUAGAUAUUGGGAGGAACACCAGUGGCGAAGGCGGUUCUCUGGGCCUGUACUGACGCUGAGGAACGAAAGCGUGGGGAGCGAACAGG
rnacentral:rRNA from 1 species